rnacentral:rRNA from 1 species
CCCACCAAGCCUACGAUCCGUACGGGCCCUGAGAGGGGGAGCCCGGAGAUGGACACUGAGACAUGGGUCCAGGCCCUACGGGGCGCAGCAGGCGCGAAACCUCCGCAAUGCGCGAAAGCGCGACGGGGGGACCCCGAGUGCCCUGCCUCUGGCAGGGCUUUUCCGGAGUGUAAACAGCUCCGGGAAUAAGGGCUGGGCAAGUCCGGUGCCAGCAGCCGCGGUAAUACCGGCGGCCCAAGUGGUGGCCACUGUUAUUGGGCCUAAAGCGUCCGUAGCCGGCCCGGUAAGUCUCUGCUUAAAUCCCGCGGCUUAACCGCGGGGCUGGCAGAGAUACUGCCGGGCUUGGGACCGGGAGAGGCCGGGGGUACCCCAGGGGUAGCGGUGAAAUGCGUUGAUCCCUGGGGGACCACCUGUGGCGAAGGCGCCCGGCUGGAACGGGUCCGACGGUGAGGGACGAAGGCCGGGGGAGCAAACCGGAUUAGAUACCCGGGUAGUCCCGGCUGUAAACUCUGCGGACUAGGUGUCGCGUGCCCUUCGGGGGCACGCGGUGCCGAAGGGAAGCCGUUAAGUCCGCCGCCUGGGGAGUACGGUCGCAAGACU